UUCGCCCUUAGAGUUUGAUCCUGGCUCAGGAUGAACGCUGGCGGCGUGCCUAACACAUGCAAGUCGAACGAAGCAAUUUCGAGGAAGUUUUCGGAUGGAAUCGAGAUUGACUGAGUGGCGGACGGGUGAGUAACGCGUGGGUAACCUGCCUCACACUGGGGGAUAACAGUUAGAAAUGACUGCUAAUACCGCAUAAGCGCACAGUACCGCAUGGUACGGUGUGAAAAACUCCGGUGGUGUGAGAUGGACCCGCGUCUGAUUAGCUUGUUGGCGGGGUAACGGCCCACCAAGGCAACGAUCAGUAGCCGACCUGAGAGGGUGACCGGCCACAUUGGGACUGAGACACGGCCCAAACUCCUACGGGAGGCAGCAGUGGGGAAUAUUGCACAAUGGGGGAAACCCUGAUGCAGCGACGCCGCGUGAGUGAAGAAGUAUUUCGGUAUGUAAAGCUCUAUCAGCAGGGAAGAAACUGACGGUACCUGACUAAGAAGUCCCGGCUAACUACGUGCCAGCAGCCGCGGUAAUACGUAGGGGGCAAGCGUUAUCCGGAUUUACUGGGUGUAAAGGGAGCGUAGACGGUGAUGCAAGUCUGAAGUGAAAUACCCGGGCUCAACCUGGGAACUGCUUUGGAAACUGUGUGACUGGAGUGCUGGAGAGGUAAGCGGAAUUCCUAGUGUAGCGGUGAAAUGCGUAGAUAUUAGGAGGAACACCAGUGGCGAAGGCGGCUUGCUGGACGACAACUGACGCUGAGGCGCGAAAGCGUGGGGAGCAAACAGGAUUAGAUACCCUGGUAGUCCACGCUGUAAACGAUGAAUACUAGGUGUGGGAGGACUGACCCCUUCCGUGCCGCAGUUAACACAAUAAGUAUUCCACCUGGGGAGUACGACCGCAAGGUUGAAACUCAAAGGAAUUGACGGGGGCCCGCACAAGCAGUGGAUUAUGUGGUUUAAUUCGACGCAACGCGAAGAACCUUACCAGGAUUUGACAUCCAACUAACGAAGUAGAGAUACAUUAGGUGCCCUUCGGGGAAAGUUGAGACAGGUGGUGCAUGGUUGUCGUCAGCUCGUGUCGUGAGAUGUUGGGUUAAGUCCCGCAACGAGCGCAACCCCUAUUGUUAGUUGCUACGCAAGAGCACUCUAGCGAGACUGCCGUUGACAAAACGGAGGAAGGCGGGGACGACGUCAAAUCAUCAUGCCCCUUAUGUCCUGGGCUACACACGUAAUACAAUGGUGGUUAACAGAGGGAAGCAAGACAGUGAUGUGGAGCAAAUCCCUAAAAGCCAUCUCAGUUCGGAUUGCAGGCUGCAACUCGCCUGCAUGAAGCUGGAAUUGCUAGUAAUCGCGGAUCAGCAUGCCGCGGUGAAUACGUUCCCGGGCCUUGUACUCACCGCCCGUCA
rnacentral:rRNA from 1 species